CCCUCGGCCAGGGCUCUCCUCAUCCUCGGAGGAGAUGAGGGGCCGGCCGGCAGAGGUAGCAAAGGAUAGUAAAAAUGUGAGCAAGAAACGUGCAGUGUACAACAGGGUGGUUUAGG